CAGCAGCCGCGGGAAUACGGAGGGUGCAAGCGUUAAUCGGAAUUACUGGGCGUAAAGCGUGCGUAGGCGGUUCGUUAAGUCUGUUGUGAAAGCCCCGGGCUCAACCUGGGAAUGGCAAUGGAUACUGGCGAGCUAGAGUGUGUCAGAGGAUGGUGGAAUUCCCGGUGUAGCGGUGAAAUGCGUAGAGAUCGGGAGGAACAUCAGUGGCGAAGGCGGCCAUCUGGGACAACACUGACGCUGAGGCACGAAAGCGUGGGGAGCAAACAGGAUUAGAUACCCCAGUAGUCCCUGUCUCUUAUAC
rnacentral:rRNA from 1 species